AUUCUUUCGGAGGACCGGCUGAGGACGUGGAACUUUUGGAUAUAUAUAUAGAUAUAUGCAGAUUUUAUAAGAGAAAAGUACGACUCAAUAUGCUGCAAAUUCAAAAUGAAGUCUGCACACACUGUGACAUCCAUGUCGGGAGACAAGCCAUUAUUAUAGCUAAACAAUGCAGCAGCUUUGUUUGAUGUGGUAUGACAAUGAAAGCAAUUACUGAAAUUUAGCUGUUUUAUAGACGAAGAAGAAUUGGAGCUCAUGUAUAAUUGUGAAAAUGAAGAGAAUGCCACCAACAAGAGUUAACCAUACACAAUGAACAACAGAAAUGACUGCAGAAAAGGGACAAACGAAAAAAGGGACGUCGGCUUCAAAGGCAGCUUCUACACCUAAAACUAAAGCAACAAAAGCAGCAUCCACACCAAAAGCAACAUCAACAAUAGUGACUGCACAAAAGGGACAAACGUAACAAGGGACGUCAGCUCCAAAGGCAGCUUCUACACCUUAAACUAGGGAACUGAAAGCAGCGUCCACACCAAAAGCAACAUCAACAAUAGAGGGAUCCAAUGGGAGACACUUACAUGUUUUGCUCCAGUCAAACCUGCACGAUGGCCCUGGAGCAGUGCCAAUGAGAAUUCCUAACUAUGUUGAACACCUCAACAGUGACCAGCGUGAUGUGCUCCAGGACAUUCUUCAAAACAACAAGGAGCACAAAAGCACCAUGACGGAGCCAGCAAUGACUUUUGUGACAUGUGAACAAAUAGCAAACUUUUUUUUGUUUGUGUAAAUACAGUCAACAAGAAACUGGAUGUCUUUACACAGAAGAUUGACAAGCUAGAACAAUUGAUUUUAAGUUUAAGUAAAUCUGUCAGUAAAGUUCUAAACAAAAAUGAGUUGAUCGGUAAAGGGGAAUCUGACAUCUGUGUUAAUGUGUACAACAGUCAGGGUACGGAUGAUGUUCAAGCAUCAGAUGAUACGUUUGAAUUAGAUUGUAGUAGUUUGGAUGUUGGUUUUGUUGGUGCGGAUAGCUAUUCAAGUGUUUCAGCGGAAGGUAGUUUCGAUGUUGGUUGUUGGUGCGAAUAGUUAUUCAAGUGUUUCAGUGGACGGUCAGUGUUCUCGUGAUCUGGAUGUAGGAAUAGUUGGUGGUGAUCAGUCUGAUGUUCACAACAGUGAGCAGGAUGGAGAAAUGGUUUGUAUAGGUCGGUCACGUGUCAUUCAUAGUGGGAGGGCUGCAGGAAUAGUUGGUGGUAGUCAGUCUGGUGUUGUUGAUAGUGGUAGGGCAGCAGGAAUAGUUGGUGGUGGUCAGUCUGGUGUUGAUAGUGGUAGGGCAGCAGGAAUAGUAAGUGGUAGUCAGUCGGGUGUUGAUAGUGGUAUGGCAGCAGGAAUAGUUGGUGGUAGUCAGUCUGGUGUUUUUGAUAGUGGUAGGGCAGCAGGAAUAGUUGGUGGUAGUCAGUCUGGUGUUUUUGAUAGUGGUACGGCAGCAGGAAUAGUUGGUGGUAGUCAGUAUGGUGUUGAUAGUGGUAGGGCAGCAGCAAUAGUUGGUGGUGGUCAGUAUGGUGUUGAUAGCGGUAGGGCAGCAGGAAUAGUUGGUGGUGGUAGGUCUGUCAUUGUUGAUGAUGGUAGGGCUGUAGGAAUGGUCCGAGUGGUGUUAGGUUUACUUCUGGUGGCAGUCAGGGUUCUUGUGUCAGUGGAGGUAUUGGUGUUCCUAAUUACAGUAGCAGUAACUUUGAUAGGACACCUCUUAGCAUUAAUAGAUAAUUCGGCAAUCAGCCUUUGAUGAUAAUCCGUUGCGCUGAUGAUAUGGGUGCAGUUCCUCCUCACGCAGAAAUUGUUCUACAUAAAGAUGUUGUUGAUGAGUUGCUCUUGGAGCAUAAAGGUAGUAUUUCUAAAUUGUCUUGGAGCUUGGCCAAGCAAAUGUUUUCUGAAGAAGACCUGUAUUCAGGAACAUUCAAUGGGAAAGGUGGUCGAAAAGUGCUGUCGCCAAGAAGGAAGCAAUUAAUCCUCAAGGUUGUUGGUUAUGCUUUUCCAGGUAUCACAGGAAUUUCUGGUUAUGUUGCGGCCACAAUUAAUAAUGGAAUUAGAAACAAAAGGAAUUACAAAAAGAAAUUACCAUAUUAACUCAAAGAAUUGCCCACACGUUUAUACUGGAACAUUUAUGCGUUUUGAUGUUUGAAUCAAGACGGAUUUAAGUAAAUAUACAAAAAUACUUUGUCGUACAAAGUUUCAACUGAACUUUGGCAGUUUUUUUGUAUACUUACUUAAAUCUGUCUUGAUCCAAACAUCAAAACGCAUUCAUUUCUUUUUGUAAUUUCUUCUGUUUCUUGAAGAAUCUUCCAGAAAGUAUUUGUGUGAGACUUGUUUUAUUAUGCUCUUGGUGAGCAGGAUGAAGGACUAGUUGGUGGUAGUGAGUCUGGUGUUGAUAGUGGUUGGGCAGCAGGAAUAGUUGGUGGUGGUCAGUCUGGUGUUGAUAGUGGUUUGACAGCAGGAAUAGUUAGUGGUGGUCUGUCCGGUGUUGUUGAUAGUGGUAGGGCAGUAGGAAUAGUUGGUGGUAGUCAGUCUGGUGUUGAUAGUGGUAGGGCAGCAGGAAAGUUGUUGGUUCUCAGUAUGGUGUUCAUUGUGGUAGGGCAGCAGGAAUAGUUGGUGGUGGUAGGUCUGUAGGAAUUGUCAGUGGUGGUCAAUUUGGUGUUGUAGAUAAGGUCUAGGGCAGCAGGAAUAGUUGGUGGUGGUCAGUCUGGUGUUGAUAGUGGUUUGGCAGCAGGAAUAGUUGGUGGCAGUCAGUCUUGUGUUGUUUAUAGUGUUAGGGCAGCAGGUUUGUUGGUGAUGGUCAGUCUGGUGUUGAUAGUGGUUUGGCAGCAGGAAUAGUUGGUGGCAGUCAGUCUGAUGUUGUUUAUAGUGUUAGGGCAGCAGGUUUGUUGGUGGUGGUCAGUCUGGUGUUGAUAGUGGUAGGGCAGCAGGAAUAGUUGGUAGUCAGUCUGGUGUUGAUAGUGGUAGAGCAGCAGGAAUAGUUUGUGGUAGUCAUUCCGGUGUUGUUGAUAGUGCAGGGUUGAUACAGACCUUGAAAAGUGCUUGAAAAUCAAGGUUUACCUUGAAAAGUAUUUAAAAACAAUUUGGAGUGCUUAAAAGUGCUUAUUUUCAAACAUUGCCUUGAAAAGUGCUUAGAAAUUGCUUGACUUUGGCUAGAAAAGUGCUUGAAAAUGAAAUUAUCACAAUUAAAAGUGUUAAAACCAUAUUCAUUCUUUCCAAGCUUUCAGCUUAUUUCACAUCAUAUCAAUCCGAUCAUAUUGAUUGCUCCUCCUAUUGUAGGAUAUACCCACUGUUUGUUUAUAGUCUUUCAGGUUAGAGUUUUGACGGAAAAUAUGCAGCUGAUGCUUCAUAAUUAAAUAAGCACAACUAUGUUAAAUGACAUUGAGUUGUUAUGUAUGUUCAAAUACAUCUUUGUAAGCAUUGUCAUAAAAAGUACUUUAAAGACAUUUGAACGUUGCUAAUAGGAAAAGCGCUUGAAUUUCACUUUUUUACAUUGAAAAGAGCUUAAGAAGUGCUUGAAUUCCAUUUGGAAAUGUUUUUAUGAACCCUGUAGUGGUAGGGCAGCAGUUUUUUUUAUAUUUACUUAAAUCUGUCUUGAUCCAAACAUCAAAACGCAUAAGAGUUCAAGUAUCUUUCAGAAAGUAUUUUUGUGAGACUUUUUUUAUAUUGCCCCCCCCCCCUUAUGUUAGGGUGGCAUAUAGCAGUUGAACUCUGUCUGUCAGUCUGCCGUAAAACUUAAACAUUGGUUAUAACUUUUGCAAUAUUGAAGAUAGAAACUUGAUAUUUGGCAUGCAUGUGUAUCUCAUGGAGCUGCACAUUUUGAGUUGUGAAAGGUCAAGGUCAUCCUUCAAGGUCAAAGGUCAAAAAACAAAAUCCAAGGGCAUUAACAAGCUUUAAAGGGAGAUAAUUUCUAUACCUACCAAAUGAUAAAUAGAAACUUUAUUUCAAAGCGACACAGUAGGGGGCAUUGUGUUUCUGACAAACACAUCUUUUGUUUUAAUUUAUUAAUAAAUUGUUAGCCAAUGUACAUGAUGCAUAUUUAUUCAAACUGUUAAACCUUUGCAUGCUGGGAUAUUUGUCAUGUGCUAAAAUGUCGUCUGCUGAAUUUCUAAAAUUAGCCUUUUCUUAAAAAAAAAAUUCAAGGAAUACUAUUAGAAUAACAACAUGCUGGAUCCUGAUGAGACGCCACGUUCUGUGGCGUCUCAUCUGGAUCCAAACUGUUUGCAAAGGCCUUGAACAUUUGGUUAAAAGGGUUAAUGUGUUAUAUAAAAUGUGCAAGUAACAUUGUUCACAAAAAAGUCUGUAGGUUGCAGUUACUCAACAUGGUACAUGUAUGCAACAUUAUUUCAGCUUUUAUUUUGUUAUGUGGAUAGUGAGUGUUUCUUUGUUAAUAUGUUGAUGUAUUUAUUAUAAAUAAACGUAAUAUUUCA